rnacentral:rRNA from 1 species
ACAUAAGUAACGAUAAAGCGGGUGAAAAGCCCGCUCGCCGGAAGACCAAGGGUUCCUGUCCAACGUUAAUCGGGGCAGGGUGAGUCGACCCCUAAGGCGAGGCCGAAAGGCGUAGUCGAUGGGAAACAGGUUAAUAUUCCUGUACUUGGUGUUACUGCGAAGGGGGGACGGAGAAGGCUAUGUUGGCCGGGCGACGGUUGUCCCGGUUUAAGCGUGUAGGUGUGUGUUCCAGGUAAAUCCGGUUCACUUUAACACUGAGGCGUGAUGACGAGGCACUACGGUGCUGAAGCAACAAAUGCCCUGCUUCCAGGAAAAGCCUCUAAGCAUCAGGUAACAUCAAAUCGUACCCCAAACCGACACAGGUGGUCAGGUAGAGAAUAC